ACGUAGGGGGCAAGCGUUAUCCGGAUUUACUGGGUGUAAAGGGAGUGUAGACGGCUGUGCAAGUCUGAAGUGAAAGGCAUGGGCUCAACCUAUGGACUGCUUUGGAAACUGUGCAGCUAGAGUGUCGGAGAGGUAAGUGGAAUUCCUAGUGUAGCGGUGAAAUGCGUAGAUAUUAGGAGGAACACCAGUGGCGAAGGCGGCUUACUGGACGAUGACUGACGUUGAGGCUCGAAAGCGUGGGGAGCAAACAG
rnacentral:rRNA from 1 species